ACCGGUAUGGGAUUAGCAUUAACAUUCGGUGACGGCGCAAAAUUGAUAGCUUUGGAGUCCACCAGAUCUUGGACGACAUUCUUGAAUGCUCUACAGCCCUCAAUGUUAUGCCCCUGCGUACCAGAAUGAAAUUCACACUUGGCAUUCUCAUCGUAAUCGGGAGGCCACUGAUCUGUUCUUAUCGGAACCAUCGCCCUCGGCUGGAC
rnacentral:lncRNA from 1 species